CUUUUCGCCGUUUCUGUACAGGACAGGAAGUGCAGUUUCUGCAUUUCAGAGGACCAUCACCUGGAGGUAGUAUCCUUCUUUCUCUGAGUAAACAUCCCAUCAUACUACAGCUCCCAUGCACUCAAACUCAGUUGGAAUAGGAAGAAUGUGACCACCAAUCAGCUUCUAAUGCAGGAAGUUGCCAAGCAGUUUUGCAUAAAAGACGAGCCAAUUUCCAAUUUUUGCAGCUCUCUUAGGAAGGAAAAGAUAUCUGUCAAGACCAGCACCCAAUACCAGAACAGUUGCCAAGUACCCUGGUCUCGGCUCAGCUUCACCAGUAGUGUGACCACCGUUGGGCUUCGGGAGGAGCCCUCA